UUCCGGGUGGUCCAGUGGUUAAGACUCUGCACUUUCAAUGCAGGGAUCUCAGGUUUGAUCCCUGCUUGGGGAA
rnacentral:tRNA from 1 species